GGGUGGAAAGCGAGAGAAAGCGCGCUGCUUGCGGCCCCGCUGCCCAGAGCCUGCCAGCAGCGCGCCCUCGGCGGCUCCGGUCCCAACCGCGCCCGCCGCCUCGCUUCCUCCGCCUCGGCCCCGUCCCGACUCCAGGGCUCGCCCGGCCUCUCGGAGGUCCCCACUCGCCCCGGCUCCCCACUGCGCCGCCCGGCUCCAGCCCCGCAGCUCGCUCGCUCGACCGCCCGGGGGAAGGUAGCAAGCAAGCGGGCGAGCGCGCCCUCGCCUCAGCCCCGCGCCCCAGCCCCGCGCGGCGACGAAGGACCGGGAAGAUGAACGGCGGAGGCAAAGCCGAGAAGGAGAACACCCCGAGCGAGGCCAACCUUCAGGAGGAGGAGGUCCGGACCCUGUUUGUCAGUGGUCUGCCCUUGGACAUCAAACCCCGGGAGCUCUACCUGCUCUUCAGACCAUUCAAGGGCUAUGAGGGUUCUCUUAUAAAACUCACAUCUAAACAGCCUGUAGGUUUUGUCAGUUUCGACAGUCGCUCAGAAGCAGAGGCUGCAAAGAACGCUUUGAACGGCAUCCGCUUCGAUCCUGAAAUCCCGCAAACACUACGACUAGAGUUUGCUAAGGCAAACACGAAGAUGGCCAAGAACAAACUCGUAGGGACUCCGAACCCCAGUACUCCAUUGCCCAACACUGUACCUCAGUUCAUUGCCAGAGAGCCAUAUGAGCUCACAGUGCCUGCACUUUACCCCAGUAGCCCUGAAGUGUGGGCCCCGUACCCUCUGUACCCAGCGGAGUUAGCGCCUGCUCUGCCUCCUCCUGCUGCUUUCACCUAUCCCGCCUCACUGCAUGCCCAGAUGCGCUGGCUCCCUCCCUCCGAGGCUACUUCUCAGGGUUGGAAGUCCCGACAGUUCUGCUGAAGGCUGUGUCUCGGGUGUGUGAUGGCGGCUGCAAUCUGUCUUGUGGGUAUUAAUGCGAUCUUCACUGGUGGCGACUGUCAUCCAGCUGUUCUGCAGAACUGGAGCUUUGCUGGUUUGAAAACGCCUUGCCCAGUUUUGAUCCCUUCAAGACUUUGCCACAGCCUCUAUCACACAUCUGUUUUCCUCAAAGAAAAAAAAAUAUAUAAUAAAAUGUGUUUUACUCUUUUACACUGUA